AACGAACGCUGGCGGCAGGCCUAACACAUGCAAGUCGAGCGAAGCCUUCGGGCUUAGCGGCGGACGGGUGAGUAACGCGUGGGAACGUGCCCUUUGGUACGGAAUAGCCCCGGGAAACUGGGUGUAAUACCGUAUGUGCCCUUCGGGGGGAAGAUUUAUAGCCAAAGGAUCGGCCCGCGUUGGAUUAGGUAGUUGGUGGGGUAAUGGCCUACCAAGCCGACGAUCCAUAGCUGGUUUGAGAGGAUGAUCAGCCACACUGGGACUGAGACACGGCCCAGACUCCUACGGGAGGCAGCAGUGGGGAAUCUUAGACAAUGGGGGAAACCAUGAUCUAGCCAUGCCGCGUGAUCGAUGAAGGCCUUAGGGUUGUAAAGAUCUUUCAGUGGGGAAGAUAAUGACUGUACCCACAGAAGAAGCCCCGGCUAACUCCGUGCCAGCAGCCGCAGUAACAC
rnacentral:rRNA from 1 species